ensembl:lncRNA
UUUUGCCUUUCAUUUUAAUCACGUUUAUUCAGCAGACAGAUGAAAAAGAUUCUAAUGAGGAGGGAUAAGCUUCACACGAUUGGUUUUCCUCUUCCAGUCCAGGCUGGGGAUGCAAUCCCACCAUCCCCUCACAGCACCAACUGCUCUGUAGCUCCUCUGGAAACACCCAAGCCUAGUUUUGAGACAGGGUCUGUGGCACCUGCUGAGGUUGAGGUUCCUCAUGCCCCACCAUCCUGCCUGGCAGUGAGCUGUGGCAGAUGCUUGGAGGGAAAAAAACAUACAUGCAGGAGUUGGGAGCCAGCCUACACCUUUCACAAUAAACCUCCCACCUCCCCACUCAUUUGUGGUUUGAGGAGCUCACGAGACACAAGCAGCACCCAGACAUCCGGGGUGCUCCAGGAAUCUGAGCAGUUCCCUUCCAAAUUCACAGGUUAAGUUCACCUUCUGUAGUACCAGGGGCAAGGACUUCCACAAACCCACCCUGGACUGUGGGAAAUGGUGAACGAGUCUUCCCUGACCUCCUUCAGGGUUUUACAGACCUUGUGGCACAUCCCACCUCCCCACCAGACAUCCUUUUGUUUGAUACAUUCGCAAGAGCUGCUCGUCUGCGCCGCUGAUGUGCUCAUUUGGGUGGUACACAGCGCAGAGCGACUGCUGACAAGGUCCCUGCUCUUCGGGAGCGUGACCCGAGCCUCUGUCUGCUCCACAGUAGCCAGGGGGAAGUUUGUUAGAGGGCGAGAGCGCCCUGAAAGGCUGAAGUCCUCCAGCCAAGGCCUGAAGCGCAUCUGAACAUGGUGGAUCAAAGUCAUUCUCGAUAGCCAUCAGUUGCCCUCACACGGCAGCACAGGGAACAUAAAUUUUCUCUGUCUGUAAAGCACUCGGAUACUUCAGUGAGGAGGUGCCAGGGAACAGCCCCCGAGGAGAGGAAUAAUUCUGUCUUCAGAGCACGAAAAACUGCCAAACACGAGGCCUAGGGCCACACACUGAACAAUGAGAAGAAACCAAACAAUUGAAGAGCGGCUUUCUCCAGCUGCUUCAUCUGUGCAAUUCGGGUUUUCUGGGCAAGGAAAAUGCAGAACUGGAGGUCUCCACUCAAUAAAAGCGGGAAAAAAAAAAAGGAAUCCUUCUUGAACUCAGAAGAAAUCUGCUUUUCCCUUUUGUUUGUUUUCGGAGCUGCAGCCGCACUGGAAAUGCAAGCGCACGCCGGCAGGAAGCUCCAGAAACACCCCCUGUGGAAAGGCACCGGGAGCUGCCGCUCUCCGCCCUCCCUUCGGGCCUCUGCCCCAUAGCAGUGUCGAUGGGCCAAAGGCUUGGCGAGGCGGGGGCCCGGCCUUGGAAGGGGUCAGUCAGGGAGGGUGCGUGAGGUUACACCGCAGAGCCACGCACGGGUUCGGGUCGGAAGGGCACUUCCAAGCCCAUGUGGACCCAACCCUGCCAUGAGCAGGGGCAUCUCCUCGGGCCAGCGCAGGUCCCGACCAGGAGCCGCCCCCAGCCCCAGCCCGGGCACGCGGGUGGCGCCAGGCCCGCUCUAUGUGCGGGGCCGGCGGCGGGAGCGCUCCAUCCUGCCGCCCCCCCCAACCCCGCCCCGGGGCGCGGCUCCGGCCGCUCCCGCGCUCGGCCCAGCCGCGCACCGGCGGUCGAUUGCUCUGGGCUGGCUCGGAUGCCUCGGCGCUC